rnacentral:rRNA from 1 species
AGCGAACGCUGGCGGCAGGCCUAACACGUGCAAGUCGAACGGAUCCUUCGGGAUUAGUGGCGGACGGGUGAGUAACACGUGGGAACGUGCCCUUUGGUUCGGAACAACUCAGGGAAACUUGAGCUAAUACCGGAUGUGCCCUUCGGGGGAAAGAUUUAUCGCCAUUGGAGCGGCCCGCGUCUGAUUAGCUAGUUGGUGAGGUAAAGGCUCACCAAGGCGACGAUCAGUAGCUGGUCUGAGAGGAUGACCAGCCACAUUGGGACUGAGACACGGCCCAAACUCCUACGGGAGGCAGCAGUGGGGAAUCUUGCGCAAUGGGCGAAAGCCUGACGCAGCCAUGCCGCGUGAAUGAUGAAGGUCUUAGGAUUGUAAAAUUCUUUCACCGGGGACGAUAAUGACGGUACCCGGAGAAGAAGCCCCGGCUAACUUCGUGCCAGCCGCCGCAGUAACAC